UGGGGAAUAUUGGACAAUGGGCGAAAGCCUGAUCCAGCCAUGCCGCGUGUGUGAAGAAGGCCCUCGGGUUGUAAAGCACUUUCAGCGAGGAAGAACGCCUAGGGGUUAAUACCCCCUAGGAAAGACAUCACUCGCAGAAGAAGCACCGGCUAACUCCGUGCCAGCAGCCGCGGUAAUACGGAGGGUGCAAGCGUUAAUCAGAAUUACUGGGCGUAAAGCGCGCGUAGGUGGCUUGAUAAGCCGGUUGUGAAAGCCCCGGGCUCAGCCUGGGAACGGCAUCCGGAACUGUCAAGCUAGAGUGCAGGAGAGGAAGGUAGAAUUCCCGGUGUAGCGGUGAAAUGCGUAGAGAUCGGGAGGAAUACCAGUGGCGAAGGCGGCCUUCUGGACUGACACUGACACUGAGGUGCGAAAGCGUGGGUAGCAAACA
rnacentral:rRNA from 1 species